rnacentral:rRNA from 1 species
GUGCCAGCCGCCGCGGUAAUACGUAGGUCCCGAGCGUUAUCCGGAUUUAUUGGGCGUAAAGCGAGCGCAGGCGGUUAGAUAAGUCUGAAGUUAAAGGCUGUGGCUUAACCAUAGUACGCUUUGGAAACUGUUUAACUUGAGUGCAGAAGGGGAGAGUGGAAUUCCAUGUGUAGCGGUGAAACGCGUAGAUAUAUGGAGGAACACCGGUGGCGAAAGCGGCUCUCUGGUCUGUAACUGACGCUGAGGCUCGAAAGCGUGGGGA